CUCAUUUGUCAAAACACUCUGACAUUAUCUAUGUAUGAUCAUUUUAGAGAUUGAGGAAAAUAAACUCAAGAACUGGUGACUUGCCCAGGUCACACUACUGGUGGGUAGCAAAACAGCAGCUAGAAUCUAUAGCUUCUGGCUUUCCAGCCAGUCCUUGUUCCACUACAUUCAUUACUUCUUUGCUGGACUGAAAAGCUUAGGACUUUUCCUGUAAGUAAUACGGAGCCAUUGAAGAUCUGAAGUUUCAAGGAAGUGGUAGGAUGGAUUCUCUUUUACUAUAAGGUUCAGAGUCUGGCUUGCAGACAAGGUACAGAUGGAAAUCUUCCUGGACUCAGGCCAAGAAGAGGAGAAAGGAGGAAGGAAAUAUGGUUAUACUUUCCUUGCUAAGGAAAUCCAACCCUCCACAAGGCAGCUUUCUUCCCAUCCCCUUGACCUUUUAGGAAAAAGCCCUGUGCCCAUCCUGCUGUGAUUCAGGAGUCUCGCAGAAGACAUCAGAAUGCCUUUCUCUGAGUCACAGUCUGUAUCUUCUAGAAAAGGCUGUCCAUCUUCACCCCAAGCCCACUGGCUCCUGAGAUACGACAUCCAGACCCAGUGCAGCUGGACCUGGCCCAGGAAGAUCAUGCGGUUUCUGGGAAGCACUGGAGAAGGAAAAGGCUGAAGAAAGGAAGACCGGAAAAGAAAUACAAGUCCUUCCGCCUUGGCAAAGAUGAUAGUACCGUUCCCUUCAGUGUUCCGGUUCUGCUCUAUUGGAUAAGUUCCGGUUUGACUAUGACUACGUGAAAAUGUGGAACCAGACCUUCACCCCACAUUCCAGCUCCAGCUCUACCACAGAGGAAGUGCAAUAUCACCUUAGUUAUUCAACACAUUAUGCUCCUCGUGAUACAACCAGAGUUCACAUCAGCAAUCUUGGCAGCUCUCACCACGCUGCUGACUCACGACUCUCUCAUGUCCCAAUUUCCUGUCCAUUGUUCUUUCCUCUACUUGGCCUGAUUUCUAAAGGCCUCUCUUGGUUGCAUUAAGCGGGAUUCCUGAGGGAUUCCCUUGGCAGUUACCUUGGGGGAGCUCUUAGGUUUGGGGCUGAUCCAUGUCCUCUAAAUGUAGGACUUCAAAGCUCCCAAAGAUAGGCAGGCCCAGUGGGAAGCUGGGAAAUGCUCUCUGACCCCUCUGGGAGGGCUGGCAGUCAGAGGGCCUUUUGGAAAGAGUCAGACCUGAUCCAUAAGUCCCUGGAAAACACCCUGCCCAGGGAGCAAAUGCCACUGUGGCCUUGACUGAGGCUUCAGAAGAGUUUGGGAGCUGCAAUUCAUCCACACACGCAUUCAUUUUCAAGUAGUGGUUUGCAGUUCAGGCUUUGGAGCCACAUAAGCCUGGCUUCAAAGCCACUUUCCAGCUUUGUAGGAAGUCUCUACAUUUUUAAACCUCCAUUUUUUUUUCCUGUAAAACUGGGGUCUUCAUGGUACUUAACUUCAUCGUGAUGUUGAGAGAAUGAAAAGAAAAAGGAUAAAUAAAUGGCUUAGCCUCGUGC
rnacentral:lncRNA from 1 species